UAAUGUUUAAUCAAAAUGAAUUGUUUUUUCUCAACAGCCGAUGGUCACCAAGCUGGCGGCGGUGGCUGGCGAUAAUUGCCGCCCUUGCCUACUCGCCGCCUGAUUCGUUGCGUGGAUCAACGGCUUCUUAAUUCGGUUUGGAUGACAAGGAUUGCGAAGUUUCCCCAAUCAUAUGAAAUUAAUUGGAGUGUCUUUUCGUGAUGGUUGGUUAGAGUCGUGGUAUGUUGAUGAAAAUUGUAUGUGACAAGUUAAACAAUUGAGGAAUCUAUCUCAAUGGAGUCAUGAUUCUUUCUCCAUCGCCA